AUUGAACGCUGGCGGCAGGCCUAACACAUGCAAGUCGAACGGUAACAGGAAGCAGCUUGCUGCUUUGCUGACGAGUGGCGGACGGGUGAGUAAUGUCUGGGAAACUGCCUGAUGGAGGGGGAUAACUACUGGAAACGGUAGCUAAUACCGCAUAACGUCGCAAGACCAAAGAGGGGGACCUUCGGGCCUCUUGCCAUUGGAUGUGCCCAGAUGGGAUUAGCUAGUAGGUGGGGUAACGGCUCACCUAGGCGACGAUCCCUAGCUGGUCUGAGAGGAUGACCAGCCACACUGGAACUGAGACACGGUCCAGACUCCUACGGGAGGCAGCAGUGGGGAAUAUUGCACAAUGGGCGCAAGCCUGAUGCAGCCAUGCCGCGUGUAUGAAGAAGGCCUUCGGGUUGUAAAGUACUUUCAGCGGGGAGGAAGGGAGUAAAGUUAAUACCUUUGCUCAUUGACGUUACCCGCAGAAGAAGCACCGGCUAACUCCGUG
rnacentral:rRNA from 1 species